GCCUGGGUGGCUCAGUUGGUUAAGCGUCUGACUUCAGCUCAGGUCAUGAUCUUGUGGUUCAUGGGUUCAAGCCCCGCAUCGGGCU
rnacentral:tRNA from 1 species